rnacentral:rRNA from 1 species
CGUGUGAUGAGUGAAU